UCGACGAAACAGGGGUGCUUCGCGGAAUGGCAGGUCGCGGCGAGGCUAAGAGAGACCCUUUGCACCCGAUCCGGUUAAUACCGGCACCGGCGAGGGAAGUUUCCUGAGACCGCGC
rnacentral:ncRNA from 1 species